rnacentral:misc_RNA from 1 species
UCAAACUUGGUCAUUUAGAGGAAGUAAAAGUCGUAACAAGGUCUCCGUUGGUGAACCAGCGGAGGGAUCAUUAAAGAGUUAAUCUAACUCCCAAACCCAUGUGAACUUACCUCUGUUGCCUCGGCAGGUCGCAGCUUACCCGGUGAGCCCCUACCCUGUAGGGACUUACCCGGUGGUUGCGGACAAGCCUGCCGGCGGCCCAUUAAACUCUGUUUAUCUAUUGUAUUCUGAAACUAUAACUAAAUCAGUUAAAAACUUUCAACAACGGAUCUCUUGGUUCUGGCAUCGAUGAAGAACGCAGC